rnacentral:rRNA from 1 species
AUGAACGCUGGCGGCGUGCCUAAUACAUGCCAGUCGAGCGAACAGAUGAGGAGCUUGCUCCUCUGACGUUAGCGGCGGACGGGUGAGUAACACGUGGAUAACCUACCUAUAAGACUGGGAUAACUUCGGGAAACCGGAGCUAAUACCGGAAAAUAUAUUGAACCGCAUGGUUCAAUAGUGAAAGACGGUUUUGCUGUCACUUAUAGAUGGAUCCGCGCCGCAUUAGCUAGUUGGUAAGGUAACGGCUUACCAAGGCGACGAUGCGUAGCCGACCUGAGAGGGUGAUCGGCCACACUGGAACUGAGACACGGUCCAGACUCCUACGGGAGGCAGCAGUAGGGAAUCUUCCGCAAUGGGCGAAAGCCUGACGGAGCAACGCCGCGUGAGUGAUGAAGGUCUUCGGAUCGUAAAACUCUGUUAUUAGGGAAGAACAAAUGUGUAAGUAACUAUGCACGUCUUGACGGUACCUAAUCAGAAAGCCACGGCUAACUACGUG